rfam:Ophiophagus hannah scaffold1852.1, whole genome shotgun sequence.
CCAAAGGCUCUUUUAAGAGCCACCAAAUUCUCCACGGAAAGCGCUG